AACAAUACUAAACUAUCAAUUACUACCAAUAUCAACUAAUUAUGCUUCAGAUGUAGAUAAAAUAAUAGUAAACAGUGAAACAAUUCAAAUAUUUUUAUUUUAAUUGUUCUAAAUCCAGUCUCAAAUAGUAUGCAAAUGGUAUUAACAAUAAUUUUGAGACGAUUAUGUAAAAUACAUAUAAUUUAUUUUUUAAAAGUGUAAAAUCCCAAAUACCAACAAAUACUAAGAGAUUGGAGGGAAAGGUAUUGAGAAGUGUCAUCGUGCUAACCAAUUCAUCUUGCCUAGUUGCAAAAGUCAAUCAAGAAUUAUUGAUCCUAUUUUUUCUUAACUUGUGAAAUAUUUAAAGGAAACAUAUUUUUAAAAAAUCUAGCUAUAUAUUGUUUACAGGAGAUAUACUAUAAUAAAAUGACUCAGGAAAGGUACAAUAAAAGGCUUGGGCAAAAUACAUGAGUGAAUGUAAACAAAAUAAAUUUCAGAAAAUAAGCAAAGUAGAAUAUAGGCAAAAAAAGUUUAAUCAUUUACAAAUCAUUCUAUGUUAGUAAAGACUUUACUCCACAGUGGAGAUAUGUCAGUCAGAACUGUCUACUGAAUAAUAAAAUCAAGAUAUAUGAGGGUAAAUUUGACUGAAAUUUAAAACAGAUAUUGAUAGAAAUAAAGUAUUAGCCUAACACCACAAGAGCUAUUUUAGUUCUUAACAGAUAAUAGAAAAUUAAAUAACACUGAAAAUAAAUAUAUACUGAAACUAAUACCCUAGAAAAAGUACCUUCUUUUCCAGAAUUCAUGAUAUAUGUAUAUAAAAUUGAUAAUGUGUUAUGCUUUAAAGAAAGUCUCAAUAAAUAUCAGUAAAUUAAAAUUAUUCAGGCAAUUUUGACAAUUACAUAAGAAUAAUUAGAAAUUAAUAGCAAAAGUAAAACAAAAUAAAACAAGACAUAAUUUGAAAGAAAACGCUGGCAAGUAAUUCAAACCAAAGGAGAAAAAUCUUAACUGUAACUACAGGGAAUUUAGAGUAUAAUGAGCAUGAGAACACUGUACCUUAAAAACUUACAAUGAGACUUGACCAAAUUAGUAAUUAGAGGAAUACUUACAAUCAUAAAAAAAGAAUAAAGGAUAAUAAAUAAUAUGAAUAAAAACUCAAGAAACAAGAAAUCUAACCUAAGGAAAGGAUAAAAAAUAAAAGUAGAAAUUAAUGAAUUUAUAAACCAAAAAUUGUAGGCUUGAUAAAUGAAUCUAAGAGCUGAUUCUUUAGCGAGCAUAAAGUAAGUAAAAUAAACAAGACUCUAGGUUAUUAAUAUGGCUUAAGCUCAGUGUAGCCUGUAUUCUCAAAUUAAUUGUUAUUUAUAUACUGUAAGACAAGAAGUUUAUGCAAGAAUGUAAAUUGACUAAGUCACUAAACACACUGUCGACGUUCACUAACUUUUUGCUUUUGUAAGUCUUUCUUGAAGCAGUGCAUUGAUUUAUCUCCUGGUGCAAGCUGCUGAGGACUGGUUGAACUAGCUCUGCUAUUAAUCUAAAAUAGAAUGCACAAUAUACAAAAUUAAUAAAGAACAAAGGGAUUGUCUUUUUGAUACAGAUAAAAAAUUUACGAUGUAAUAUUAGUUUAAUAUAUAAUGCUAGAUUAAAAUGUUUCAAACUCAUAUAAAUGAAUAAUCUUCAAAAGAAAAUAAUAAAUUGACAUGCAUAAACAUAUAAAGCCUAUAAAAUGAAGUGUUUAAUAAAUAAAAAUUAUCUCCAAGAAAAAAAAACUGUCCUCACAUGGUUGCCUAGCAAAUUGGUGUUAGCCUUCCAUAUACGAAUAAUUACCAUAUUAUGUACAUUGUCCAGAGUAUAAAGUAAAUAGGGCAACUUCUUCAUAAACCUGAUAGCAAAGAUAGCAUAACUUUGACAUGGUGCAAAAAAUUAAGCAGCAAACCAAUCUUAGGUACAAUAAUCUUAGUUAUAAUUUUAAAUGUAAAAGCUCUAAACAAAAUUUUAAGAAAUAGAAUCCAACCUUUAUACAUAUCACCACCAAGAAAGCUUUAAUGUAGAAAUAUAAAUAUAGUUCAAAUAGAAAAUCUGCUAAUAUCAUCCAUCACAGAAAUAUAUGAAAUGAGGAAACCAUAUUAUUAUCUUAAUAGAUUUCAAGCAUGCAGUCAAUAAAUCAAUAGUAUUUUCUGAUUACACACACACAUACACACAAGCAUACAUGCAUACAAAGCUAUCUAGAAAGAUAAGAAUAUUUCUUUAAUGUGAUAUAGAAUAUGCUCCUCAAAACAAGAGCCAGCAUCAUAUUCAAGGAUGACACACCAAAAGAACAACUGCAGUCACCACUUGUAUUGGAAAUUGUUCUGAAAAUACAAGACAACUCAGUAAAUGAGAAGAAAAAUAUUGGAAUAUUUAUAAGAAAGGGAGAAGCUAUAUUAUGUUAUCAUUUUGGUUCUUUGAUUCUUUACUUGGACUGAUAUGAGAAUCCAUGAAAUAUUUAGAAUGAAUGAAGGUUUAGCAAAUGACUGAAAUUACAUUGUGUAUGAACUAUUAAAAGUAUAACUAUAUAGUUUUCCAUAUAACAUAUAUGUAAAUAAAAUAUAUACAACUAUUAACUAACUAAUAUGCCAAUAAUAAUAAUUUGGAAAAUAUAGUGGAAAAAAUAACAUUGCCAAUAAUAAUAAAAUAUGUAACUAGAAAUUAACAACAAAAAUUGUGAGCCCAUGUGAAGAAAAUUUCACCAUAAGAUACCAAAAAAGUGAAUAAAUGGAGUCGUUCUUUGUUAUAAAGAUGUAAUUAACCCAUAAUUAAUUGAUGGAUUUAAUAAAAUUUUAUUUUUUGGAACUGUG
rnacentral:tRNA from 1 species